AUUGAACGCUGGCGGAAUGCUUUACACAUGCAAGUCGAGCGGCAGCGCAGGGGCAACCCUGGCGGCGAGCGGCGAACGGGUGAGUAACAUAUCGGAACGUACCCCGUCGUGGGGGAUAACUAUCCGAAAGGAUAGCUAAUACCGCAUACGACCUGAGGGUGAAAGCGGGGGACCGUAAGGCCUCGCGCGAUGGGAGCGGCCGAUAUCGGAUUAGCUAGUUGGUGAGGUAAAGGCUCACCAAGGCGACGAUCCGUAGCUGGUCUGAGAGGACGACCAGCCACACUGGAACUGAGACACGGUCCAGACUCCUACGGGAGGCAGCAGUGGGGAAUUUUGGACAAUGGGGGGCAACCCUGAUCCAGCCAUUCCGCGUGAGUGAAGAAGGCCUUCGGUUGUAACUAGCUUUGUACGGUAACGAAACGGUACUGCCCUAA
rnacentral:rRNA from 1 species